GCCCAACGCUGGCCCAGGGUUCCUAGUCAGAAUGCACUUGGUUUUUUCAUUCUGAAAGAAAAAAAAUAAUAAUUGAGUCUGGCCCAAUGACUCAAGCCCACGACUUCUACUCAGCAGAAUCAAUAGGGGUCUUACACUUUCACCCCCAUUCUCCAUUCAAAUGCCAUAUGCGAGAUCCAGGGUCUCUGCAAACCCUAAGGCAUUCAUCAUCGCCACUCACUGCUAUCUCCGCCAAACCGGCCGCCGCAAGUCGCCGCCCAAGCCAUCGCCGGCUCCACCGCUCACCAUCGGGCCCCUCGCCGGCCGCCUCUCUAGCUAUUCCUUUCUUUCCUAUUCGCGUGCGAGGGAGGGAACCCCUUCUUCGAGAACGACGCCGGCCACCGCAGGUCGCAGGUCAGGGCGCCACCAGAACCACCGUUCGCUGUCGAAACCGUCGCCCGCCGCCGCACCAACUCACGGCCACAGUGAGUCACCAGCAAUGAGAACCCUUUUCUCCUCUUCGAUUCGGCGCGAGAAGCUCUCUCCCUCCCUCGUCGAACACCGCCGGCGAAAUCGACCACCGCCAGCCACCUGAAGAGUCACCCUCCUCUCAAAUACGAUCCCCUUCUUCACCCCUCUCUUCUUUUGUUCUUUAUAUUGCUUGGGUUGAUUUCGCUUUGUAGUGCCUUUCUUUAUUAAGGAUUCAAUUCCUCUGAUUGGGAAUGAACAGAGCCGUAACCAAUUUGGGGGGUUUGGGUUUGUUUUUGCAGAGAGAAACAACGUGUAUCAAAAAUCAAGAUUGAUGGGGGUGUGUUUGGGAUAUCGAUUUUCAGGUUUGGGUUACACAUUGUGUAUGCAUUUCUUGCUCAAGGAUUCAACUAUUUCGUUGGCGGUUGGAGAUGAACAGAGGUGUGGAGGCUUAGUUUCGUUAUUUGGCUUGAAUGUUCUGAUUGAUACAGGUGAAGAAUGCUCUCGAGAUGGAAGGCAGCUGCGACAGACAUUGUUAUUCAGAUUGAGGGAGUCCUAUGGUCUGCUAGAAAUACUAUUUCUGUUUUCUAUUUCGUACGAGGAUGGAUAUGAAAGGAUACAUCAGAUUCUGCCUAUGUUUUCUUCUUAUUAGAGUUUUCUGGAAUGUUUUCUGGGUGUAAGUAAAGAGGGUGUUUGGAGUCGGGAUACACGCCUAUGUUCCAUUUUCAGUUAAAUAUGAUGAAUUUUGCAGGCAUUGAAACUGCAUUUUGGAUGCAGUUUUCUGAUUGACAGAGAAUAUCACAUAGUAAAUGAACACAACCACAUACACGCAUAUUUCAUUCAUAUCCAAUUCCAAACAUGUAACAGAGACAUGUAAACAUAUAACAGGCAUUCACAUACGACCAAGAGCUUAGAGACGACAACUUACCUCCGCCGCUGCAUGGUUCUCCUCUCCUCUGGCCGUGAGGUCUUUUCUUCCCAGGUGGUGAUGAUCGGUGAUGGCGAUGGUAGUAAAUCUCCAAUGUUUUGUGAGGGCAGCGUGGUCAAAACCAGAUCCCCUCACUGUCCCAGCUCUGCUUUCUGUAGGAUUUCAUGUUUGUCUUUUUCCUUUUCUCUUGUAUUCAUUGUAUCAGUUAAAAAAAACUUUAAAAUCUUUCCCCUUCGAUGAAUGUAUGCGACUCUGCACGGGGAUUUUAGCAAGAGGAGCCUCGACUUGCCACACUGCCAAUGCAUAUAUAUAUUUUGAGCAUUGCUUUUAUAUACAUUUUGAGCAAUAUACAUUUUGAGCACUGCCAAUGCAUAUA